AUGCGGUUUUUGUUCACUCUCUCUGCUUUUCCAGCUGUUGGAGAUGAUGAGGUGAAGAAGUCGGAGGGCAAACAGGUGGAAGGGAUCUUUGGGUUUGGAAAGAAGGAUAAAGACAAAGAAAAGAGCAAGGAAAAGAGCAAAGACAAGAGUCAUGAUAAGGAUAAGCAUAAACACAAGGAACACAAAGAUAAAGAACAUAAGGAACAUAAAGGCAAAGACAAGAAGAAGAAGAAAGACAAGGAACACAAGAAGAAGAGCGGUGGCAAGUCCUCCUCUUCCUCCAGCGAUUCGGACUAAAGCAAGUCUGAAGAUUCAUCAGAUACUUCCAGAAUUUUUUUUUAAAAAUCUUUAUUAUGAUUUUUAUAGAUAAAUAAAUGCAAUAUUAUACAAUUAAGGGGGGGGGGG
ensembl:lncRNA